UUAAGCUACAAAGAGCGUAGGGUGAAUAGCUAGGCACCAAGAGCCGAAGAAGGACGUGAUAAGCUGCGAAAAGCUUUGGGUAGGAGCAAAUAUCCAUUAAUCCAGAGAUAUCCGAAUGAGGGAACUCACUUAGAGCAAACAAUCUAAGUAUCCAUAUAUGAGUAAAGUAGUAUAUGAGAAGGGAACGUGGGGAACUGAAACAUCUUAGUACCCACAGGAAAAGAAAGAGAAAUCGAUUCCUAGAGUAGUGGCGAGCGAAAUAGGAAGAGCCUAAACCAUGAGUAGUAAUACACAUGGGGUUCGGACCACGAUAUAUUAUCAAUAAUUCUAAUAGAAAUGUUUUGGAAAAGCAUACCAUAGACGGUGAAAGUCCAGUAUAUGAAAGAAAAGUUGAGAUUAGUGGUAUCCAGAGUAGUACGAGACACGAGAAAUCUCGUAUGAAUAAGCGGGGACCAUCCCGUAAGGCUAAAUACUACUUGGUGACCGAUAGUGAACUAGUACCGUGAGGGAAAGGUGAAAAGAACCCCGGGAGGGGAGUGAAAUAGAACAUGAAACCCUAUGUUUACAAGCAGACAAAGCACUUUAUAUGUGCGAUGUCGUACUUUUUGUAGAACGGUCCAGCGAGUUAUUGUGUAUGGCGAGGUUAAGUAUUACGUAAGGUACGGAGCCGAAGCGAAAGCGAGUCUGAAAAGGGCGAUAUAAGUCAUGCAUAAUAGACCCGAAACUGAGUGACCUAUCCAUGAGCAGGAUGAAGCUAGAGUAAAAUCUAGUGGAGGUCCGAACUGAUUGUCGUUAAAAAGGCACCGGAUGACUUGUGGAUAGCGGAGAAAUUCCAAUCGAACUCAGAGAUAGCUGGUUCUCCUCGAAAUAGCUUUAGGGCUAGCCUUGAGGGAAUGCAUAUGGGGGUAGAGCACUGAAUGAGGUAGGGGCCUAACCAGGUUACCAAACUCUAUCAAACUCCGAAUACCAUAUGUAAAUACUCAGGAGUCAGACUGCGGGAGCUAAGUUCCGUGGUCAAAAGGAAAACAGUCCAGAUCGUCAAUUAAGGUCCCAAAGAUAUAGCUAAGUGGAAAACGAUGUGAUUUUGCAUAAACAACCAGGAUGUUGGCUCAGAAGCAGCCAUUCAUUCAAAGAGUGCGUAAUAGCUCACUGGUCGAGUGAAGUUGCGCGGAAAAUUACCGGGGCUAAGCUAUACACCGAAAUUGCGGAUUUACAUUUGAAAGACAAUGUAAGUGGUAGAGGAGCAUUCUGUAGUAGGAAGAAGCAUGACCGUAAGGACAUGUGGACGAAGCAGAAGAGAGAAUGCUGGAAUAAGUAGCGAGAGGAUGGUGAGAAUCCAUCCCGUCGAAAAUCUAAGGUUUCCCAGGGAAGGUUCGUCCGCCUGGGGUAAGUCGGGACCUAAGGAGAGGCCGAAAGGCGUAUCUGAUGGAUAGCAGGUUGAAAUUCCUGCACUACGAAUAUACUUAAAAGAUUCAAGGGACGCAGAAGUGGAAGAUAACCAAGUAAGAGGAAAAGCUUGGCUCGCAAGAGGGAGUGAAAAUUAAAAGUAACGAAGUAUCAAGAAGCACGCUGACGAGAAAAGCUUGAAGAUAUUGUAUAUAAGUACCCGUACCGCAAACCGACACAGGUAGAUGAGGAGAGGAUCCUAAGACGAGCGGGAGAAGCAUUGUUAAGGAACUCGGCAAAUUAACCCCGUAACUUCGGAAUAAGGGGUGCUGAUGUAACAGUCAGUCGCAGAGAAAAGGCCCAAGCAACUGUUUAACAAAAACAUAGGUUUCUGCUAAAUCGAAAGAUGAAGUAUAGGAGCUGACGCCUGCCCAGUGCUGGAAGGUUAAGGGAAAGAGUUAGGGUUAAACCGAAGCUUAGAACUGAAGCCCCAGUGAACGGCGGCCGUAACUAUAACGGUCCUAAGGUAGCGAAAUUCCUUGUCAGGUA
rnacentral:rRNA from 1 species